UGUGAAGGACCGCCCCUGGUUUGGCACGUAGGUUAUCCAGCCAGUACUUGAUGAUACUCUGACGCUCCUAAAGACAAGCUUGUGGGAUUCCCAGUCGGAUAUGGUUCAGCAGCCAUAGCAAGGUGUGGUCAUCUAUGGUGUCUACAACAAAAAAAAGAAAUGACAGUCUUGGAGCCACUUAAUGAGUGUAUUCACAUAAGGAUGUUGAAACAACGACAUUCUCCAGAGCUUGGCGGAAGUAGCAGCAGUAACCGUGGGAGGACGGAGCCGUGGAAAGGUCAAUCCAAUCAAAUGAGGGCAUUGACAUGGUGGAAGUGUCACCAAGAGGAGGAGACAAGGACUGCAAACUCUGCCAGAAAGAACUCUUCUGGAUUCAUACUUGAGGCACCCUAAAGCCGUUAGGAUAUAAUAAGAAUUUAAUAUGAGGGUCAUGUUGUAAUUCCCACUGUCAUUAUCUUAGCUUCAUGCACGCACACACACACGCGCGCGCGCACGCGCGCACGCACGCACGCACGCACGCACGCACGCACGCACACACACACACACACACACACACACACACACACACAC